rnacentral:tRNA from 1 species
GCCAUCGUGGUGGCAUGGUCAGCACACUUGGCGCGUAACCGAGAGGUCCGUGGUUCGAUUCCCGGCGAAGUCG